CAAUGCUUGUAGAAGUGGCACAAUCCCACAACACUAUGUUGUUGGGACUUUCUGCUCAGCAGAGGCUUCAGUAAGCACUCAGCUUCUUCAAAUGUGUUUUGGGAGCCAUAUUGAAUAAAUGGCACUCUUCUUCCCAGUGUUUUUCCAGAAAUCUCAGGCAUCUCCACUUCCACAUUGAUUGCCACAAGAUGUUGAAUAACAGCUGCCACUGAAGAACCUUUAGAAACAUCAACUAUUCAUGCUAUGCCUGGUUGGUAGCAACAAGGGGAGAAGAAACGGACCUUCACAGCAGCUUCACCAUAGAUGGAGAGCAUCACCAGAUAAACUUUACCAGGUCCCGUCUGCCAUCAGAAAUAUGUCCGCUUUCAGCUGAGGAGACAACCUUCUCCACUGCCGCACCUGCUUAGAGAAAUCCUUCCCCAUGGAUUUUAUUUGUUAAAAUUUACACAGUGUUAUUGUUGCCAAAUUUUACCCACUGCUUGUU